rnacentral:rRNA from 1 species
AGCUUGCUAAUAAUUCUCUAGUGGCGCACGGGUGAGUAACACGUGAGUACCUGCCCCCAAGAGUGGGAUAGCCCCGGGAAACUGGGAUUAAUACCGCAUAAAGCAAUAAAGCAGCAAUGCGCUUGGGGAUGGGCUCGCGUCCUAUUAGUUAGUUGGUGAGGUAACGGCUCACCAAGGCGAUGACGGGUAGCCGGUCUGAGAGGAUGUCCGGCCACACUGGAACUGAGACACGGUCCAGACACCUACGGGUGGCAGCAGUCGAGAAUCAUUCACAAUGGGGGAAACCCUGAUGGUGCGACGCCGCGUGGGGGAUAAGGUCUUCGGAUUGUAAACCCCUGUCAUGUGGGACAUUAAAAAGAUAGUACCACAAGAGGAAGAGACGGCUAACUCUGUGCCAGCAGCCGCGGUAAUACAGAGGUCUCAAGCGUUGUUCGGAAUCACUGGGCGUAAAGCGUGCGUAGGCGGUUUCGUAAGUCGUGUGUGAAAGGCGGGGGCUCAACCCCCGGACUGCACAUGAUACUGCGAGACUAGAGUAAUGGAGGGGGAACCGGAAUUCUCGGUGUAGCAGUGAAAUGCGUAGAUAUCGAGAGGAACACUCGUGGCGAAGGCGGGUUCCUGGACAUUAACUGACGCUGAGGCACGAAGGCCAGGGGAGCGAAAGGGAUUAGAUACCCCUGUAGUCCUGGCAGUAAACGG